CUUGUGUCUCACAAAUUACUACAACAAAAGUUGCAAGUAUAAUUAAAAUGAUACUUUGACAUGAGAGCGGUGAUUGUUCUAUUUGGAGUUUCUUCUUUUGUUUUUAGCGACCAUAGGAUGGGUUCCAGGGCGGCAACAUGGGAUAGCCAGGAUGGACGUUGUUCUUUCAUCAUUUAUUUUCAUCCGUAGUCGGACCAUGCUCUUCUACAUGAUGAUUGAAUGUAUUGUUGUAUUGAGAUGCUCAUGUUGUAGCUUGUGGUGAGUGUAAGCCAAUUACAUAUACUCAUCUCUUCUGUACAUGU
rnacentral:lncRNA from 1 species